UACGUAGGGGGCAAGCGUUGUCCGGAUUUAUUGGGCGUAAAGAGCGUGUAGGCGGUUUGGUAGGUCCGCUGUGAAAACUCGAGCUCAACCUCGAGACGCCGGUGGAAACCAUCAGACUAGAGUCCGGAAGAGGAGAGUGGAAUUCCUGGUGUAGCGGUGAAAUGCGCAGAUAUCAGGAAGAACACCCGUGGCGAAGGCGGCUCUCUGGGACGUGACUGACGCUGAGACGCGAAAGCGUGGGGAGCGAACAGG
rnacentral:rRNA from 1 species